AUGACUUGGAGGGUAUUAUCCCUACCACUUGCAUUGUCUCUUUCGUUGAGUGCUCUUUCAAGUUCUUGCUUGUGCACAAAUCACUACAUGUUGACCAGGUUCGAGGUGACAUUCCUUGGGACCCCGGUGGAUUUAGAGCAUGGUGAAAAGGAGAAGCAAUGGGCACAUACAAGGAAGAGAAAAGCUGGAGCAUGCACGAGGAUAGAGAGCAUGAGGAUAGAGAAGCAAAAGGAGAGGAGUCACAAUGCAAGAGGAUGUGAGAUGAUCGAGCGAGUUCUACUUCAUAAAGCCUGGUGUAUACCAUGUGCUCUGGAUCGGUGGUAUGUUCCUUUGGGGAGGCAAACAAAAAAACUAAUAAUUGGUCGAGCCGGGUAUAUUCCAUGUUCUCGGGAUCGGUGGUAUGUUCCUUUGAAAAGGGCGAAAAGGCCCAAAAUCCUUCUAUAA
rnacentral:rRNA from 1 species